CUCGUACUCACUGUAAAAUAGUUCGAUCUUCUCGUCGCUACUCUACACACUUUUGACCACUCCGAAGCGACCACACAGUUUCGCUUUGCAUCCGCGAGAAAGGGCGUACCCCAUCUGGUCGUCUUUGUAGAGGGGUGGUUUCUUGCAGUAUGGAGGGGAACGCCUGUUCUGACCCGCCCUCAAUGGCAAAUUAAGAGUAUAGUCUGCGACAGUGUCGUUCAUAAGAGCUAUCGCGUCCAACACGUCUUCGAUUCCAUCAGCUUCAGCAAAUCGGAGCUCUAGGGUCUCCAAAAUUGAAUAGGCUCUAGCGGAAACUAGUCGCAAGGAGUGAAACUCACUUUCACACACGGACCGCUUGUAGCGUUGAAUCCGCAGAAACGAUAUAAGCGACUCGAAGACAAUGUGUUCACACGUGAUUGCUCUGGCCUAAUCCAUGCUUUUGUGCGUGCAGCAAGAUUAUGAGGUUCUUCAAAAGCUUCUUGUUCGCGGGAAGAUACGUCACUACCUACAGUAUCAGCACGGUUUCUAACAAAGAGAUAUAAACAAGAUAAGCUCCGGAGGGUCUCUGAAUGUCCAUCGGCAAUUGACUUCGCGACCCUAACAACUGGCACGCAGCGACGGAAAAAUUGCACCGGCUGCUUUUAAUUUCUUAUCAUCUUCGCCGAAUCACAUCCCAAGUGGCGGUUUUCCUUGCAGGUUUUGCUUGACCGGUGGAGGCGCCGUCACUCAGAUAAUGUACGCCACAAAAAUAUGCCCCUUUUCUGUUCGAGUCAUCGACUCCGAACUCACCAACUGCGACGCCACAGCAUCUUUCGAUCGAAACAGAGCCCCCCAUGCAAAUGCCUGUAUUGCCUGAAGCGAUCGACUACUCUUUUUCAUAGCGGAACAGGGUGAUCCAUGAUAAGAUUGACGCAUACGCAUGUGCGUCGUCGCUUGUAACGUUUUAUAUUUCCAUGCCCGAGAUCGCCAGUAUCACUUCCCGUCGUCGCUGCCUCACCGACUGCAGUCCCACAUCCUCUCUUCAUUCAAUCCAGUGGACGCUGCUAAGACGAAAACUAACAAGUAUUCACUGUCAAGAACAACUGCGACUGUGACUAGAAAUCAUUAUCUUAUCGGAGUUGUGUCGCCAAAUUGAAAGUAUUGGUUCGUUUUCCGUCUGCUCCCAUUCUGAAACCCAUAGUCGAGCUACAACAGGACUUCCAGGUUGUGUAGUAACUGAAGUGAUUCUUCUCUGUACCAUCGUUUGUACGGGUAACCUGGUGGACCCUGAACACCGUUUUGAUAUAUCCAACGCUGAUAAGACUCAAUGC
rnacentral:lncRNA from 1 species